GCCUUGGUGGUGCAGUGGUAGCACGCGCUCGCGAGGGGGGUAUGGGUGAAACGCGGGUUCGACUCCCGGAUGAGGUC